GGGAGGGGGGGCUAGCGUUGUCAGAAUUACUGGGCGUAAAGGGCGCGGUAGGCGGCCUGCCAAGUCAGGGGGUGAAAGGGCCCGGGCUCAACCCGGGAACUGCCCUUGAAACUGGCAAGCUAGAGUCCGAGAGAGGAUGGCGGAAUUCCUAGUGUAGAGGUGAAAUUCGUAGAUAUUGGGAAGAACACCGGUGGCGAAGGCGGCCAUCUGGCUCGGUACUGACGCUGAGGCGCGAAAGCGUGGGGAGCAAACAGGAUUAGAUACCCUGGUAGUCCACGCCGUAAACGAUGUGUGCUAGACGUUGGAGGUCUUAGGCCUUCGGUGUCGCAGCUAACGCGUUAAGCACACCGCCUGGGGAGUACGGCCGCAAGGUUA
rnacentral:rRNA from 1 species